CGGUCCGCAGUUCACCGAGUCGCUGUCGUUUCCACAUGGAAAUACGCUGAACCUGUUU
rfam:Celeribacter baekdonensis B30 contig3, whole genome shotgun sequence.